UGUUCUGGAACAAGCUCCGGGGGGGGGGCUCACUCCCAGCAGGACUCUUGAAGGAGCCACACAGAAUGUCAGAAUUGUCAACUGCACAGAGGGACAUUUACCCACUGGUUCCUGCCCUCCAGUGCUCAAGGAUGAGCUCCCUCAGACCUCCCGGUGUGGACGUGCCCCAAGAGGCUGUGCAAGAAGCCCUGGACAGAAAGUGACAUUUGGAGCAGCUCAGGUGCCCUUGGGCUAUGCGCACAGCUGGCUGGCUGCAGUGACAAGCAAAGCAGAAAGGUCAACCCAGAUGAAGAAGCCUGCCCCGCGGCUCAGGAAGGGGAUCCCCAGGGCCCGGAGCUCUCCUGCCACAUAGGCGUGGGCGGCCUUGAGCCGGGCACGGUUCUCAGUCUAAACGCUGAUGAGAAAACUGCCAUGAGCUGCCAGGACGCUUCUUCCACCUGGACGAUGGGGAUGAUGGGAAGACUCAAUAUCCCGC